rnacentral:rRNA from 1 species
AGAGAACGUGAAACCGUUAUAGUGGAAGCGGAUGGAGCCGACGUAUCCAGUACGUAUUCAGCCGUUGGCGGGUGUAAUCGACCGUUGGGGGGUUCUGCAAAGUCUCCCGGCGGUYUYUUUGCUCACGUCGACGGUGCAUUUGCGUACAGAGUGCGCCGAAUCGGUUGAGCACGCGGUUGGAAGCCGACGAAGAGGACCUCCCUUCGGGGUUGGAACCCUGCGUCUUGGCGGAUGACGGUCGAGCUUAGCUGCCCAUGGAGGCUGGCAUACGUUGCAAUYKCGGYCGRUUAGGUYUGYUCGYGUACGACGCUUGCGUUUUGCGCUUGUGGGCCUGGUCGGUCGGGGUUGUUUCCCCGCCUCGAAUUCGGUGUUCAGUCGGUCACCCAYYCGACCCGUCUUGAAMCACGGACCAAGGAGUUUAAGGUGUACGCAAGUCAUUGAGCAUGCGGAAACUCAAAGGCGUAAUGAAAGUGGGCCACCCAGUGGCUGUGAUGCGACUCGGCGGGGAUUCGUCAACGUCGAGGCAGCAUCGACCCAUGACUGGGCCUCGGCCUGUUGUGGAGUCCGAGCGUACGCUUUGAGACCCGAAAGAUGGUGAACUAUGCCCGAACAGGACGAAGUCAGAGGAAACUCUGAUGGAAGUCCGAAGCGGUUCUGACGUGCAAAUCGAUCGUCUGAUUGGGUAUAGG